rnacentral:rRNA from 1 species
CAAGUCGAACGCUKCUUUCSUCCCGAGUGCUUGCACUCAAUUGGAAAGAGGAGUGGCGGACGGGUGAGUAACACGUGGGUAACCUACCCAUCAGAGGGGGAUAACACUUGGAAACAGGUGCUAAUACCGCAUAACAGUUUAUGCCGCAUGGCAUAAGAGUGAAAGGCGCUUUCGGGUGUCGCUGAUGGAUGGACCCGCGGUGCAUUAGCUAKUUGGUGAGGUAACGGCUCACCAAGGCCACGAUGCAUAGCCGACCUGAGAGGGUGAUCGGCCACMCUGGGACUGAGACACGGCCCAGACUCCUACGGGAGGCAGCAGUAGGGAAUCUUCGGCAAUGGACGAAAGUCUGACCGAGCAACKCCGCGUGAKUGAASAAGGUUUUCGGAUCGUAAAACUCUGUUGUUAGAGAASAACAAGGACGUUAGUAACUGAACGUCCCCUGACGGUAUCUAACCRGAAAGCCRCGGCUAAMUACGUGCCAGCAKCCGCGGUAAUACGUARGUGGCAAGCGUUGUCCGGAUUUAUUGGGCGUAMMSCGAGCGCASGCKGUUUCUUAAGUCUGAUGUGAAAGCCCCCGGCUCAACCGGGGAGGGUCAUUGGAAACUGGSAGACWUGAGUGCASAMGAKGAGASUGGAAUUCCAUGUGUAUCGGUGAARUGCRUACAURUAUGGAGGAACWSSUKUGGCCSAACGCGGC